rnacentral:rRNA from 1 species
AAGCCGGAAUCGCUAGUAAUCGCGGAUCAGAAUGCCGCGGUGAAUACGUUCCCGGGUCUUGUACACACCGCCCGUCACACCAUGGGAGUCGGAAAUGCCCGAAGUCAGUGACCCAACCGGAAGGAAGGAGCUGCCGAAGGUGGAGCCGGUAACUGGGGUGAAGUCGUAACAAGGUACC